rnacentral:tRNA from 2 species
UCCCAAAUAGUCUAGGCGGUUAGGAUACGUGGCUUUCACCCACGCGACCCGGGUUCGAGUCCCGGUUGGGAA